GGGAAAUGAAGCAGUGAUGAAGAGGGAGGGGUCAUCUCAUCACUACUAUUUCACUCUACAGCGUGUACAAUCUUAUGCUGGAAGAAGACUCUAAAGCUGGCCAUCUUUCAUAGAAGUUCAGGGUUCACAAAAGUCAAAAAUCUCCUUUUUGCUUCUGGGACAGUGUCUUGAUGUUGAUCACCUG